CAAGGUCACAGCAAACACCAGUGUCUGUGGCUGAAGAUCUAGGGAGGCUUGUGGCCGCAUCACCCAAAAUCAGACUACAGAUAGAGGUCCCUCAUCCAUGUGGCCCACCCCCAGUACCUGGUCCUGACAUCUGGGGCAGAUCCACAUGCCCUUGGGAAUUGUUUUCAGAGGAGGGUCUAAGCAAUCCAGAUGAUACACACGCGAACACGUGUCACACAUCAGCAACUGGCCACUCUUUCUGCAAACACUGCAAAAAUCCUCGUGGAUGUCACCCUAGGAGACGGGGAGGAAAGAAAAUUAAAUACACAUGGAAAAGAAGGAUAUAGUGAAGAGAAGAAAACGUACACCAGGAAAAAGAUACACAAAAGAGGCCAGUACUGAAGGCCCAAGGGAAGAAGACGGUGUAAGACACGCGGACAGCAACACAGCCAAGUACCUCCGCACUGGUGACCACUGAAGUCCCCUGGCUUCACCUCACAACUAAAAGGCAGAGUGGCAGAACGGAUAGGUAAGUCAUGCUUCCGCUAGAGCCUCACUCUAGAGCGGACGGGAGAAAGGGAGGGCCGGAAGGACAACACUGAACAGACUACUGUUGUGUGUUUCGGGGCGGAUCAGCAUCGAGUUUGUUCAGUUUUCUUAUUUACUCGUGUGUUCCUGUCUAAGUGCUG